GAUUAAGUUAUUAAGGGCGCACGGUGGAUGCCUUGGCACUAGAAGCCGAUGAAGGACGUUACUAACGACGAUAUGCUUUGGGGAGCUGUAAGUAAGCUUUGAUCCAGAGAUUUCCGAAUGGGGAAACCCAGCAUGAGUUAUGUCAUGUUAUCGAUAUGUGAAUACAUAGCAUAUCAGAAGGCACACCCGGAGAACUGAAACAUCUUAGUACCCGGAGGAAGAGAAAGAAAAUUCGAUUCCCUUAGUAGCGGCGAGCGAAACGGGAAGAGCCCAAACCAACAAGCUUGCUUGUUGGGGUUGUAGGACACUCUAUACGGAGUUACAAAGGACGACAUUAGACGAAUCAUCUGGAAAGAUGAAUCAAAGAAGGUAAUAAUCCUGUAGUCGAAAAUGUUGUCUCUCUUGAGUGGAUCCUGAGUACGACGGAGCACGUGAAAUUCCGUCGGAAUCUGGGAGGACCAUCUCCUAAGGCUAAAUACUCUCUAGUGACCGAUAGUGAACCAGUACCGUGAGGGAAAGGUGAAAAGCACCCCGGAAGGGGAGUGAAAUAGAACCUGAAACCGUGUGCUUACAAGUAGUCAGAGCCCGUUAAUGGGUGAUGGUGUGCCUUUUGUAGAAUGAACCGGCGAGUUACGAUUUGAUGCAAGGUUAAGCAGUAAAUGUGGAGCCGUAGCGAAAGCGAGUCUGAAUAGGGCGUUUAGUAUUUGGUCGUAGACCCGAAACCAGGUGAUCUACCCUUGGUCAGGUUGAAGUUCAGGUAACACUGAAUGGAGGACCGAACCGACUUACGUUGAAAAGUGAGCGGAUGAACUGAGGGUAGUGGAGAAAUUCCAAUCGAACCUGGAGAUAGCUGGUUCUCUCCGAAAUAGCUUUAGGGCUAGCCUCAAGUGAUGAUUAUUGGAGGUAGAGCACUGUUUGGACGAGGGGCCCCUCUCGGGUUACCGAAUUCAGACAAACUCCGAAUGCCAAUUAAUUUAACUUGGGAGUCAGAACAUGGGUGAUAAGGUCCGUGUUCGAAAGGGAAACAGCCCAGACCACCAGCUAAGGUCCCAAAAUAUAUGUUAAGUGGAAAAGGAUGUGGCGUUGCCCAGACAACUAGGAUGUUGGCUUAGAAGCAGCCAUCAUUUAAAGAGUGCGUAAUAGCUCACUAGUCGAGUGACACUGCGCCGAAAAUGUACCGGGGCUAAACAUAUUACCGAAGCUGUGGAUUGUCCUUUGGACAAUGGUAGGAGAGCGUUCUAAGGGCGUUGAAGCAUGAUCGUAAGGACAUGUGGAGCGCUUAGAAGUGAGAAUGCCGGUGUGAGUAGCGAAAGACGGGUGAGAAUCCCGUCCACCGAUUGACUAAGGUUUCCAGAGGAAGGCUCGUCCGCUCUGGGUUAGUCGGGUCCUAAGCUGAGGCCGACAGGCGUAGGCGAUGGAUAACAGGUUGAUAUUCCUGUACCACCUAUAAUCGUUUUAAUCGAUGGGGGGACGCAGUAGGAUAGGCGAAGCGUGCGAUUGGAUUGCACGUCUAAGCAGUAAGGCUGAGUAUUAGGCAAAUCCGGUACUCGUUAAGGCUGAGCUGUGAUGGGGAGAAGACAUUGUGUCUUCGAGUCGUUGAUUUCACACUGCCGAGAAAAGCCUCUAGAUAGAAAAUAGGUGCCCGUACCGCAAACCGACACAGGUAGUCAAGAUGAGAAUUCUAAGGUGAGCGAGCGAACUCUCGUUAAGGAACUCGGCAAAAUGACCCCGUAACUUCGGGAGAAGGGGUGCUCUUUAGGGUUAACGCCCAGAAGAGCCGCAGUGAAUAGGCCCAAGCGACUGUUUAUCAAAAACACAGGUCUCUGCUAAACCGUAAGGUGAUGUAUAGGGGCUGACGCCUGCCCGGUGCUGGAAGGUUAAGAGGAGUGGUUAGCUUCUGCGAAGCUACGAAUCGAAGCCCCAGUAAACGGCGGCCGUAACUAUAACGGUCCUAAGGUAGCGAAAUUCCUUGUCGGGUAAGUUCCGACCCGCACGAAAGGCGUAACGAUUUGGGCACUGUCUCAACGAGAGACUCGGUGAAAUCAUAGUACCUGUGAAGAUGCAGGUUACCCGCGACAGGACGGAAAGACCCCGUGGAGCUUUACUGUAGCCUGAUAUUGAAAUUCGGCACAGCUUGUACAGGAUAGGUAGGAGCCUUUGAAACGUGAGCGCUAGCUUACGUGGAGGCGCUGGUGGGAUACUACCCUAGCUGUGUUGGCUUUCUAACCCGCACCACUCAUCGUGGUGGGAGACAGUGUCAGGCGGGCAGUUUGACUGGGGCGGUCGCCUCCUAAAAGGUAACGGAGGCGCUCAAAGGUUCCCUCAGAAUGGUUGGAAAUCAUUCAUAGAGUGUAAAGGCAUAAGGGAGCUUGACUGCGAGACCUACAAGUCGAGCAGGGUCGAAAGACGGACUUAGUGAUCCGGUGGUUCCGCAUGGAAGGGCCAUCGCUCAACGGAUAAAAGCUACCCCGGGGAUAACAGGCUUAUCUCCCCCAAGAGUUCACAUCGACGGGGAGGUUUGGCACCUCGAUGUCGGCUCAUCGCAUCCUGGGGCUGUAGUCGGUCCCAAGGGUUGGGCUGUUCGCCCAUUAAAGCGGUACGCGAGCUGGGUUCAGAACGUCGUGAGACAGUUCGGUCCCUAUCCGUCGUGGGCGUAGGAAAUUUGAGAGGAGCUGUCCUUAGUACGAGAGGACCGGGAUGGACAUACCUCUGGUGUACCAGUUGUCGUGCCAACGGCAUAGCUGGGUAGCUAUGUGUGGACGGGAUAAGUGCUGAAAGCAUCUAAGCAUGAAGCCCCCCUCAAGAUGAGAUUUCCCAACUUCGGUUAUAAGAUCCCUCAAAGAUGAUGAGGUUAAUAGGUUCGAGGUGGAAGCAUGGUGACAUGUGGAGCUGACGAAUACUAAUCGAUCGAAGACUUAAUCAA
rnacentral:rRNA from 1 species